ensembl:lncRNA
CAGGAAGAGUAGCUGCUGCCUUGGCAGGAACUAAUGGGGAUCCAUAAUAAACCCCAGGAAGAGUAGCUGCUGCCCUGGCAGGAACUAAUGGGGAUCCAUAAUAAACCCCAGGAAGAGUAGCUGCUGCCCUGGCAGGAACUAAUGGGGAUCCAUAAUAAACCCCAGGAAGAGUAGCUGCUGCCUUGGCAGGAACUAAUGGGGAUCCAUAAUAAACCCCAGGAAGAGUAGCUGCUGCCUUGGCAGGUACUAAUGGGGAUCCAUAAUAAACCCCAGGAAGAGUAGCUGCUGCCUUGGCAGGAACUAAUGGGGAUCCAUAAUAAACCCCAGGAAGAGUAGCUGCUGCCUUGGCAGGAACUAAUGGGGAUCCAUAAUAAACCCCAGGAAGAGUAGCUGCUGCCCUGGCUGGAACUAAUGGGAUCCAUAAUAAACCCCAGGAAGAGUAGCUGCUGCCUUGGCAGGUACUAAUGAGGAUCCAUAAUAAACCCCAGGAAGAGUAGCUGCUGCCUUGGCAGGAACUAAUGGGGAUCCAUAAUAAACCCCAGGAAGAGUAGCUGCUGCCUUGGCAGGUACUAAUGGGGAUCCAUAAUAAACCCCAGGAAGAGUAGCUGCUGCCUUGGCAGGAACUAAUGGGGAUCCAUAAUAAACCCCAGGAAGAGUAGCUGCUGCCUUGGC